CAGGGGGCUGAGGAAGCUGGUGCUGAGGAACGUGUCCUACGGCCUGGGGGAGCUGUACAGAGCCUUUUCCAUCAGUGCCCAGGUGAGGCAGCUGCAGAAGUUCAUCCCUGAGGUCACCACCGAUGAUGUUCUCAGGGGUCCCUCGGGCGUGAGAGCCCAGGCUCUGGACGGCGAGGGCAAUUUGGUGGACGACUUCGUGUUCGACGGCGGCGCCGCGGGCGGCAGGGUGCUGCACGUCCGGAACGCUCCUUCUCCCGCCGCCACCUCCUCCCUGGCCAUCGCCGCCGCCAUCGCUGACGAGGCCGAGCGGCGCUUCCAGCUCUGAGCUCCGGGCGGGCUCUGCCCCCCUGGAACGCGGGGCCACCGGGCAGCGCCCGCGGCGCCCUCGGCAGCGGUGCCGUGCCCGCGGAGGUUGGGCCUCCCGAGCAGGAGCAGCCCGUGGGAGGGUGUCCGAGGCUCCGUGCCGGGGUUAUCCGCAGGGAUCGCCCGUGCUCCCGGCGCUCUUCGGUGUGCUCCCGCUGCGUCUGCGCUCCUCUGGGGUGUCACACGGCAGUGAUGGACUCGAGGGGGUAAGCCCUGCUUCAGGGCCCUGCUGCUGUGCAAUUAAAGGUUUUGUCAGAGAUCCAGAGCAGUAUUCAGAGCCUUCGGCGUGAACGUAGAGCGCUGCACAGAAAAAUGAGCUGAAAGGGGAUUACCAAGCCCGAGUCAGUUGAGAUCUGCAAUUCAGAUACUCCGUCUGAUCGCUGUCUCUGUGUAUUUUUUUAAUAGAGGAGAAAUGAAAAUAGGGAUUUAAGCA